GCCUCAGUAACGGCGAGUGAAGCGGCAACAGCUCAAAUUUGAAAUCUGGCCCUGGGGCCCGAGUUGUAAUUUGCAGAGGGUGUUUCGGGUGCGGCGUCGGCCUAAGUUCCUUGGAACAGGGCGUCACAGAGGGUGAGAAUCCCGUACGUGGCCGGCGAUCAAGCCCGUGUGAAACCCCUUCGACGAGUCGAGUUGUUUGGGAAUGCAGCUCAAAGCGGGUGGUAAAUUCCAUCUAAAGCUAAAUACCGGCCAGAGACCGAUAGCGCACAAGUAGAGUGAUCGAAAGAUGAAAAGCACUUUGGAAAGAGAGUCAAACAGUACGUGAAAUUGUUGAAAGGGAAGCGCUUGCGACCAGACUCGCCCGCGGCGCGAUCAGCCUUUCCCUUUGGGGGGGUGCACUCGCCUGCGGUCGGGCCAGCAUCGGUUUCGGCGGCCGGACACAGGCCCCGGGAAUGUGGCUCCCUCCGGGGAGUGUUAUAGCCCGGGGUGCAAUGCGGCCAGCCGGGACCGAGGACCGCGCUUCGGCUAGGAUGCUGGCGUAAUGGUCGUAAGCGACCCGUCUUGAAACACGGACCAAGGAGUCUAACAUCCAUGCGAGUGUUUGGGUGUCAAACCCAUGCGCGGAAUGAAAGUGAACGGAGGUGAGAACCCCGUCUCGGGGCGCAUCAUCGACCGAUCCUGAUGUCUUCGGAUGGAUUUGAGUAGGAGCAUGGCUGUUGGGACCCGAAAGAUGGUGAACUAUGCCUGAAUAGGGUGAAGCCAGAGGAAACUCUGGUGGAGGCUCGCAGCGGUUCUGACGUGCAAAUCGAUCGUCAAAUUUGGGUAUAGGGGCGAAAGACUAAUCGAACCAUCUAGUAGCU
rnacentral:rRNA from 1 species